UCAGAUCCAGUGUGAAGAAGAAGAAUCUGCCUUCAGGAUUUGGUCAGUCGGAUGGGUGUGGCUCAGUAUUAAUAGAGAAAUCAGAUUUAGUUUGAAUCUACAACAAUAUGAAGAACUAUUCAAAAAUCUCCGUGAUUUUAUUAUUAAUCUGUGUGUUUGGAGCUGAUGGACAUCGAGCGGAGAGAGUGACCGUGAUGGAGGGAGAUUCUCUCACUUUAGACCCUCUAACAGAGCAAUUUAAUCGAAUACUGUGGUGGUUUGGAGAUCCAUUAGCAUUUAUUGUUGAAUCUUUUGGAAUUGAUUUAGUAGAGGAAUAUGAAUACAUACAGUUGAGCUUUGGAAAUCCAGACUCAUUCAUUGCUGAAAUUAAUGGAAAUGUGACCUCAUAUACUGAAGAUGAGAGACUCAGAGACAGACUGAAGCUGAAUAAUCAGACUGGAUCUCUGACCAUCAACAACAUGUGAAUCACAGACACUGGAGUUUAUCAUCUACAGAUCGAUCACAGCACUGGGACCUUAUUUAAGACAUUCAUUGUUAAAGUCCCUGUGUUUGGAGCUGAUGGAGAUGAAAUGAAGAGUGUGUCAGUGAAGGAGGGAGAUUCUGUCACUCUAGACACUGGUUUUAAAGAGGAAUCUGAUGUAAUAACGUGGUGGUUUAAAAGUUCAUUAAUUGUUGAAUCUGAUGAAAAUGGGACCUAUACUGAUGAUGAGACAUUCGGAGACAGACUGGAGCUGAAUUAUGAGACUGGAUCUCUGACCAUCAACAACAUGACAACCUCAGACUCUGGAAAUUAUCAUCUAGAGAUCAAUCACAACAAUAGGACCUUAUCUAAGAUGUUCAUAGUUACUGUCCAUGUGUUUGGAGCUGAUGAAGAUGGAGUGAAGAGAGUGUCAGUGAAGGAGGGAGAUUCUGUCACUCUAAACACUGGUUUUAAAGAGGAUUUUAAUCAUAUAAAUUGGCUAUUUGGAGAUUCAUACUCAUUCAUUGCUAAAUCUGAUGGAGAUGAGAUCUCAUAUACUGGUGAUGAGAGAUUCAGAGACAGACUGGAGCUGAAUGAUCAGACUGGAUCUCUGACCAUCAACAACACGAGAAUCACAGACUCUGGAAUUUAUAAAGUAGAGAUCAAUCACGGCAACACUGUGACAUUCAUGGUUAAUGUCUGUGGAUCAUUUUAUCCAUAUCCAGGUCUGUCUCCAGGUGCUAAAGCAGGAAUAGGUGUUGUCAUUCUGCUGCUGGUGUUAUAUAUUGCUGCAGUUUUAUACUAUCACCAUAAGCUCUCUAAACGACGAAUGCAAAACCAUGAAGAGAACACUAUAUUUGUGAAGGAGGGAAACCAUGCGACUCUAAACCCUGAUACUGAAAUCAAGAGUGAUGAUGUGAACAUGUGGAUGUUUGAAGAUCAAGACAGUGUCAUUGCGCAAAUGACUGGACCGUCCAGAGAGACAUUUGAUGGUCCUGAUGGGAGAUUCAGUGACGGACUGAAGCUGGAUGAGAAGACUGGAUCUCUAUCAUAGAUGCAAACUCCUCACCUUUAGCAAACAUACAGGAUGUUAUAAACUACAGAUCGGCAGCAGCAGAGAAUCCAAAUACAAGAAAUUCAAAGUUAUUACACAUGGUUCCACAGGAAAAAAUGCACAUGAAUCAGAGACUUCAGAGAUUCCACUGUUGAGUGAAGAAGAUCCGGAUAGAGCAAGAGUUCAGUAUGUUAAGGCUCACCCACAAGUGCACGAUCAAAAUAUUUAGUCAUUUUUACACUCACUCAUGUAGGAAUGACAUUAAAGUGAGUAAAUGACAAGAAGACUGUAUAUAAGAGACCAUCAAGUGCCACAUUCAGUGAGUCGACGUCAAUAUAUGUUACACUUAUUAUAUAAACAAUUAACUAACUUCUCAUCUGAGUUCAGGUUCUUUCAAUAUUGUGACAUUUUUAAUACUUUCAAAUAAUUUUUUUGUUUCUUCUUUAGACCUUUUUCCUGAUUAAACGAUGAGUGUUGCCAUUACAAAUUCUAACUUCUGAUUGGAUGCUCUCCUGUUCCGGUCUCCAUAGGAACCCGUUCAUCUGUUUUCAGUGUAGCUUCAUGUCAUCGACACUCUCAUUAAACUUUGACGGGUGAAACACUGACACAAGACGGUCAUUGCGACACUGUAAAGUGAUGGUGUGUUUUAAUAGGUUUAACGUUACAUAAUCAGCUUGGAUAAUACACUAAUUUGACUAGAAACCGGAAAUGUAAAGCAUCCUUCCUGUUACAAGUCAGCCGUGACUUCCACAUUCAGGAAAAAGGUCUAUAUGAAAUAAUUAUGCUUGAAUAUGUUAUUCAAACCAGAGAAAGUCUUUAUCACUGGAGUCUGAGUCAAGUCUGGAUUCUGUUGUCACGAGUCCGAGUCGAGUCUCAAAUCAUAAAACAAAAACAAAGUUUUCAUACUCAAAUCCUAUUUUUAUCCUAGUUAUAUUAUAUAGACAAAAUAAUAUGAUCUUUAAUCGGUUUUGUUUGUAAUAAUAAAGGUCCUAAAAUGUAAGAGAUAAUGUACAUCUACCUUAUUACUUUAUAAUCUGUUACAGUUUAUAAUCCAGUAAAAACUAUCAUCCAGCCAUUUCAAUGCAGUAACUAAGUGGACACAAGAUGGCGCCAGUGAGUCACGGUUUGUUAUGCAGCCUUAUUGACGACAGUCAUUAUCAGAAAAUAUCAAACCUCAGAAUGUUUGUCAAUAGGGAACUGUACGCAUGCUGAUUAUGAUACUUUAAAAUAUGAGCUUAUGGUAAUAAAUGGAUCUACCUCUCUUUCUACCUCUCUCUCAUGGACACACAUUAAGAGAGAGAAAACCUGCAUAUACUACUAAAAAUAUUGACAAAAUGCAGUGCUAGGUUUAAAGGUUCAAUUUUUUUUUCAUUUAUUUUUUUCAUAUUUUACCAGGCUGGCGAUCCAAAUGAGCCACACAGCUACACUACAGUAUAAUAGCUAGCUGUGUGAGUUAAUGUGACUAACCUCUGUGGAUGUGAUGUCUCGUAUAAUUUAAUGUUGUCGUUCCUGUGCCUUUUAAUUGUUUUCACACAUUCUAAUCAUCUAGCCAAUAAACCCGUUAAUAAACCCGUUAAUAAACCCAAAAGAGCAAACAUAUGGCAUGGUGGCUCCUGUCAUGUUUCAUGUGAGUCAUUUCAGGUUGAGUCUGAAUUCUUUUAAGGCCCGGGACACACUAGAUGAUUUUUCAAAUCUUAACUGAUGUAAAAUCUGUGGGAGAUCACAGACAUAACUAGAAUGUACAUUUCCUGAAGAAAAUGUGAAUGGUGCUUGCAGUGGCAAAACUCGUCACUUGGUUGCUAGGGUAACCUGGGUGGUUGCUAGGCGGUUGCUAAGGUACUUGGG